UACGUAGGGGGCUAGCGUUGUCCGGAAUCAUUGGGCGUAAAGAGCGUGUAGGCGGUCCGGUAAGUCCGCUGUGAAAGUCGGGGGCUCAACCCUCGAAUGCCGGUGGAUACUGUCGGGCUAGAGUGCGGAAGAGGAGAGUGGAAUUCCUGGUGUAGCGGUGAAAUGCGCAGAUAGUCAGGAAGAACACCCGUGGCGAAGGCGGCUCUCUGGGACGGUA
rnacentral:rRNA from 1 species